AAACAUCGCCUCUUGAACACCCUAUAUAAGAGGUCCCGCCUGCCCUGUGAUUACAAAUUUAACGGCCGCGGUAUUUUGACCGUGCAAAGGUAGCGCAAUCACUUGUCUUUUAAAUGAAGACCUGUAUGAAUGGCAUGACGAGGGCUUGACUGUCUCCCCCACCCAGUCAAUGAAAUUGAUCUCUCCGUGCAGAAGCGGGGAUGACCCCAUAAGACGAGAAGACCCUGUGGAGCUUUAGACAAUAAAUAGACCUCGUAAAACAACCUUAAUAAAAAGAAUAAAACAAAAAGGAGCCUAUUUUGCUGUCUUUGGUUGGGGCGACCGCGGGGGAACAAAAAGCCCCCAUGUGGAAUAAGAAGACCUUCUUUCAACCAAGAGCGUCAGCUCAAAGUAACAGAAUAUCUGACCUAAAAAGACCCGGCAAAGCCGAUCAACGGAACCAGUUACCCCAGGGAUAACAGCGCAAUCCUCUCCCAGAGCCCAUAUCGACGAGAGGGUUUACGACCUCGAUGUUGGAUCAGGACAUCCUAAUGGUGCAGCCGCUAUUAAGGGUUCGUUUGUUCAACGAUUAAAGU
rnacentral:rRNA from 1 species